CACGUAGGCACCAAGCGUUGUCCGGAUUUAUUGGGCGUAAAGAGCUCGUAGGCGGUUGAGUAAGUCGGGUGUGAAAACUCUGGGCUUAACCCAGAGCCGCCACCCGAUACUGCUCUGACUUGAGUUCGGUAGGGGAGCAGGGAAUUCCUAGUGUAGCGGUGAAAUGCGCAGAUAUUAGGAGGAACACCGGUGGCGAAGGCGCUGCUCUGGGCCGAUACUGACGCUGAGGAGCGAAAGCGUGGGGAGCGAACAGG
rnacentral:rRNA from 1 species